AUUGAACGCUGGCGGCAGGCUUAACACAUGCAAGUCGAGCGAGCGGCGGACGGGUGAGUAAUGUCUGGGAAACUGCCUGAUGGAGGGGGAUAACUACUGGAAACGGUAGCUAAUACCGCAUACCAUCAGAUGUGCCCAGAUGGGAUUAGCUGGUAGGUGGGGUAAUGGCUCACCUAGGGGACGAUCCCUAGCUGGUCUGAGAGGAUGACCAGCCAAACUGGAACGGGGACACGGUCCAGACCCCAACGGGGGGAGGAGGUGGGGAAUAUGGAACAAUGGGCGCAAGCCUGAUGCAGCAAGGCGGGGUGUGUGAAGAGGGCCUUCGGGUUGUAAAGCACUUUCAGCGAGGAGGCGUUACUCGCAGAAGAAGCACCGGCUAACUCCGUGCCAGCAGCCGCGUAAUUC
rnacentral:rRNA from 1 species